GUUGGUUGAAAAUCACUCUCGGCUUUGGCCGUGGUCGUGGGUGAGAUUCGGCGCCCAGAGCCACCGGGGCCUCAGCUCACCGCCCACUGCCUCGUGUGCGAGGGUGAAACCCAGGCCCCGACAGUC
rnacentral:snoRNA from 1 species